ACUCCUACGGGAGGCAGCAGUAGGGAAUCUUCCACAAUGGACGAAAGUCUGAUGGAGCAACGCCGCGUGAGUGAAGAAGGGUUUCGGCUCGUAAAACUCUGUUGUUAAAGAAGAACAUAUCUGAGAGUAACUGUUCAGGUAUUGACGGUAUUUAACCAGAAAGCCACGGCUAACUACGUGCCAGCAGCCGCGGUAAUACGUAGGUGGCAAGCGUUGUCCGGAUUUAUUGGGGCGUAAAGCGAGCGCAGGCGGUUUUUAAGUCUGAUGUGAAAGCCUUCGGCUCAACCGAAGAAGUGCAUCGGAAACUGGGAAACUUGAGUGCAGAAGAGGACAGUGGAACUCCAUGUGUAGCGGUGAAAUGCGUAGAUAUAUGGAAGAACACCAGUGGCGAAGGCGGCUGUCUGGUCUGUAACUGACGCUGAGGCUCGAAAG
rnacentral:rRNA from 1 species